rnacentral:rRNA from 1 species
UACGUAGGCAGCAAGCGUUGUUCGGAGUUACUGGGCGUAAAGAGUGCGUAGGUGGUGCCCUAAGUCUGUUGUGAAAUCUCCCGGCUUAACUGGGAGGGUGCGGUGGAAACUGGGGUGCUUGAGUGUGGGAGAGGUAAGCGGAAUUCCUGGUGUAGCGGUGAAAUGCGUAGAUAUCGGGAGGAACACCGGUGGCGAAGGCGGUUCUCUGGGCCUGUACUGACGCUGAGGAGCGAAAGCGUGGGGAGCGAACAGG